rnacentral:rRNA from 1 species
UGAGGAAUAUUGGUCAAUGGACGAGAGUCUGAACCAGCCAAGUAGCGUGAAGGAUGACUGCCCUAUGGGUUGUAAACUUCUUUUAUACGGGAAUAAAGUGAGGUACGUGUGCCUUUUUGUAUGUACCGUAUGAAUAAGGAUCGGCUAACUCCGUGCCAGCAGCCGCGGUAAUACGGAGGAUCCGAGCGUUAUCCGGAUUUAUUGGGUUUAAAGGGAGCGUAGGCGGACGCUUAAGUCAGUUGUGAAAGUUUGCGGCUCAACCGUAAAAUUGCAGUUGAUACUGGGUGUCUUGAGUACAGUAGAGGCAGGCGGAAUUCGUGGUGUAGCGGUGAAAUGCUUAGAUAUCACGAAGAACUCCGAUUGCGAAGGCAGCCUGCUGGACUGUAACUGACGCUGAUGCUCGAAAGUGUGGGUAUCAAACAGGAUUAGAUACCCUGGUAGUCCACACAGUAAACGAUGAAUACUCGCUGUUUGCGAUAUACAGUAAGCGGCCAAGCGAAAGCGUUAAGUAUUCCACCUGGGGAGUACGCCGGCAACGGUGAAACUCAAAGGAAUUGACGGGGGCCCGCACAAGCGGAGGAACAUGUGGUUUAAUUCGAUGAUACGCGAGGAACCUUACCCGGGCUUAAAUUGCAACUGACUGAACCGGAAACGGUUCUUUCUUCGGACAGUUGUGAAGGUGCUGCAUGGUUGUCGUCAGCUCGUGCCGUGAGGUGUCGGCUUAAGUGCCAUAACGAGCGCAACCCUUAUCGAUAGUUACUAGCAGGUCAUGCUGAGGACUCUAUUGAGACUGCCGUCGUAAGAUGUGAGGAAGGUGGGGAUGACGUCAAAUCAGCACGGCCCUUACGUCCGGGGCUACACACGUGUUACAAUGGGGGGUACAGAAGGCAGCUACACGGCGACGUGGUGCUAAUCCCGAAAGCCUCUCUCAGUUCGGAUUGGAGUCUGCAACCCGACUCCAUGAAGCUGGAUUCGCUAGUAAUCGCGCAUCAGCCACGGCGCGGUGAAUACGUUCCC